rnacentral:misc_RNA from 1 species
GAUGAAGAACGCAGCGAAACGCGAUAUGUAAUGUGAAUUGCAGAAUUCAGUGAAUCAUCGAAUCUUUGAACGCACAUUGCGCCCCCUGGUAUUCCGGGGGGCAUGCCUGUCCGAGCGUCAUUACAACCCUCAAGCUCAGCUUGGUGUUGGGCCCCGCCGCCCCGGCGGGCCCUAAAGUCAGUGGCGGUGCCGUCCGGCUCCGAGCGUAGUAAUUCUUCUCGCUCUGGAGGUCCGGUCGUGUGCUCGCCAGCAACCCCCAAUUUUUUUCAGGUUGACCUCGGAUCAGGUAGGGAUACCCGCUGAACUUAAGCAUAUCAAUAAGCGGAGGA